rnacentral:misc_RNA from 1 species
UUAAUGUAACAACGAAGGUACUAUGCCCAUGGUCGAGAWUUUAAWUUUCGGCGGNGNGCACUGUGGGCCUCGCAGUGCACAGUGACGUUGCUCGACGAUCUAUGUUUUAAGCUAUACUUGUUGCUYCGNAACUUGUUGUGCCMAACACAUGGARACUCGGGWGGCRAUGAGRCAUUGCUGUGGAGRAUGAACCUGUUGCUGUGGARAACGAARAAGGNGCUGCUUUGGUUGAWGAAAAUCUUCCAACGAUGWGGWAUUGUGGGUCUCGCAAUGCCAUAUGUMAUGUUACUUGACRAUCUAUGUUGGAAGCUUUACAUGUUGSUUUUGCGACUKGUUCUGCCUAAAACAUGGKGAUUUGGGUGACRAARAGACCUUGAUGCGGAGGAGGACGUUGCUGCGGAGGCGRAUGAAGGUGAUGCUGCGUUGGUUGAUGAAAGUCAUCCAACGACGKGGUAUUGUGGGCCUCGCAAUGCCAUAUGUCAUGUUGCUCUGAAUGUCUCGCUUUGAAGCUGUACUUGUUUGUUGUGCUUCAUUUCGGUGAUCUCGUGCAACGUUGAGGCAUGUUGGUUGAURAAAGUCAUCCAACGACGUGGUAUUGUGAGCCUCGCAACGCCAUAUGUCAAUGUUGCUCUGAACGUCUCGCUUUGAAGCUGUACUUGUUUGUUGUGCUUCAUUUCGGUGAUCUCGUGCAAUGUUGAGGCAUGUUGGUUGAUGAAAGUCAUCCAACGACGUGGUAUUGUGGGCCUCGCAAUGCCAUAUGUCAUGUUGCUCUGAAUGUCUCGCUUUGAAGCUGUACUUGUUUGUUGUGCUUCAUUUCGGUGAUCUCGUGCGACGAUGAGGGGCAUGGUUGCUUCCCUUUGUUAUUCUUCUCGYAUCGUUCGGUGCAUUUUGGGGGCAUUUCAGCAUUUUGUUGUUUCCUUAGCUUUUAGCUAGGGUGGUGGCUAAGUGUUGGGUGUCUUCGGGGAUGUCUACCGUAAAGGUGCAUGAGUGGUAUUUGGUUUGUUACGGGUGGUUGGCUCUUGCUUGCGCAACAACUUCCACCUGGCUAACCUCUUCAGUUGCUUGCCAAUGCUUUUAAAGUAUUGGUUGGAUUUUGGGUUUCAUGUGUUGCCUACCGAAUUGAUGGUAUUGUAUUUUGAAAGAAUUCUGUUUUUUCAUCUUGCGUCGCAAAUGCGUUGUGUGAUGAACCUUGAAGCAUUCUUUAUGAUCCACUAUUUUAAUGCUUAGGUGUUAAUUGUGUGGCUCAUUUUGAGUUGCUUGGUAUCUUGGAUAUGGAACCUGAUGUGGGCAUGGGAUGUUUAUAUAUCCCUUGGUUGCCUU